GACGUCACCGCAUCUUUAUAAAGGGCCGCCUUGGGGCGCGAAAAGUUCGUGAGGUGUAGUCGCGGCAACCAGGAGCAGGUGCACCCACCACUAGAAUUUGAACAUCCUAAGAACAGGUAUUUUUGUCUCUGCUUUGCUGAUGUAUCCUCAGCAACCGGAACUGCCUGACAUCUGAUCCUUUCUGUGAGACACCAGGCUGUUGAGGAAGAAUCUAUGGCAACAUUGUAUCUAUUAAUAUACAGCUUCUGUAUUUAUCAGGCCCAGUUCUGGUGAUGAUUUCACUUUUGACAGAAGCUGUCCCUCAAAAGCAAACAUGCAAUAGAAGAAACAGAUCUCAAUGGAGUCUCACUCUGUCACCCAGGAUGGAGUACAGUGGCGUGAUCUCGGCUCACUGCAAGCUCCGCCUCCUGGGUUCAUGCCAUUCUCCUGCCUUAGCCUCCCGAGUAGCUGGGACUACAGGCGCCUGCCACCACGCCCGGCUAAUUUUUGUAUUUUUAGUAGAGACAGGGUUUCACCGCAUUAGCCAGGAUGGUCUCGAUCUCCUGACCUCGUGAUCCGCCCGCCUCAGCCUCCCAAAGUGCUGGGAUUACAGGCGUGAGUCACUGUGCCCAGCCAAGUUUAGUAUUUUUUGUAGAGACAGAGUUUCACCAUGUUGGCCAGGCUGGUCUUGCACUCAUGGCCUCAAGUGAUCCACCUGCCUCGGCCUCCGAAAGUGCUGGGAUUACAGGCGUAAGCCACUGUGCCUGGCCUUAAAUGGGUAAAUUUCAUAUGGUAUAUGAAUUAUAUUUCACUAAAACUUUAAGAAAACAUUAUACAGUACUGUUCAAAUUUUAAGUGGUCCAAUUUAAAUGCACUAUUGUAUACAAUUCUAUGUAAUGUCCUUACCAUGGUAUAUGUUAACUAUAAAUAUCUAUGCCCCUACCCUUAGUAUCAAAGCAUAUAUUAUAUGCCAGUGAGCCAAGCCCCACAUGUCUGUGAAAUGUGGUCUUCUAGCCAUAGAAGUAGCUUGUGCUCCUAGGGUAUUCCUUGAGGCUCUGUAUGAAGAAUGUCCAUUUGUUUGAGUCCCUAACCUACAGAAUAUUCCUGACCAUGGAAAUGUGAUAGAUAGGAGUAAGCACAUGGACCAAAAGGCCUGGAGGCUCAUCAUUUAAGGUACAAGCCAAUUAUGUAGUCUUUGAAAGAAUGCUUUGAAAUUCAGCUUGCUUGAUUCAAUUCCCAAUAUUUUCAUUUGUAUUAAAAGAUUUGGCCCUUACAGGUUAAAAACAAUGUCAGUGUAACCAAGUGACAUUCAAAUUUUGGCUCCCAACAUGUGAUAUGACAUCACUUCAUGUGAAAAUAGCGAAGCUCCAAACAUUUUCUUUCAGUCACCUUAUUAAGCUCGCUGAGCCCUGACAGCCUAAUGAAAGGCUAAGGGGGAAGAAAAUGUCCCAACUUCUACACUGUUGAAGAUGGGCUAAUGAGAGGUUAGCUUGCAAGAAUCAUUCUUUCUUGGCAUCCUGCUUCUGACUGCUUGGCUUUCAGCUUAUACCCAGCAUGAAAAUUUAAUUUCCUCGCAGUUGAAGGUAGUUUAAAGCUUAUUACUCACAUGCUAAAAUGUUGAUGUAUCUGUUUUUGUGCUUGUUUUCUGGAUGAUUGGAAUGCUCUGCAGUGAUGUUCAUAUCAGCAGUACAGCGCUGGACUUCCUAGUGAAGAAAACAGCAAGAUUAUAGACACAGUUUAGAAACAAAGGAACACCAUAUACAUUUAAAGGCAUAAAGUAUUUACUCACUCCCUGGCCACAGCCACCGUUACCUUCUCAAUCCCAACUUCGGAUAUAAUUAUUGAUAUAUUUAUAACGAGUUUAUGAAGAAUGUGAAAAAGGUAUAAAGAUUUCAUUAUUUACUAUUUCAUCAAUCAUCUACUUUUUUCUAGUUUUUGACCUAGUCCCUGAGAUGUAAAACAAUAUCUCUUUUUGAAUACAUCAUAGUCUAUGGGUGAGAAAAAUAUUCAAAAAGAUAGUCAAACAUGAUGAAUACAAAAGAGGCCUGAGAAAGCUCUGAUGGGAGCACAGAACAGAGGAAGGCUUUAGACAGGUGAAAAAAUUUACCUAAGUCUUAAAGGAAGAAAGGGAAUUUCUAAGAAGUAUAAUCUCUACCAUGAUUUGCAAUAUGCUUACAGGCCUUAUAGCCUCAUUUUAUAAUUGUGAGGGUGCAUUGACUCUAAAGACUCAGUGCUGAAAUAACCCUAAUAACAGCCCAACUAAUGGUCAUAUCUCAUAUAUACAGUCUUGACAAAUUAUUUGUGAACUCUAGUAUUUUAAAAGUUAUCCUUCUUUGGAAAAAUAGCAGUAGCAGAAAUAACACUCUUAUCCUACCUUGGCCGUGGAUUUAAACGUCAUCCAUUAGCCUAAUACAACGUUGCUGAAAAGCCAAAUUUUUCUACACUAUAUGCUUCAAACCCAAGAAAGUACUGGAGCUGACUAAUAAGGGAAGUCAUUAGCAGUACACAGCUGCUACAAAGAGCCUGAACAAAGUAACACAAAAUUAUCAGGAGAAAUGUUUUACACAGAACAGAUGUAGCAGAGUUUAGAAGCAUGCAGACUUUUUUUUUCCACAAAGGAGUUGCCUAGUAAUUAUGCAUGUUUUCCAUAGUAUUUACAUUAAACAUAAUGAAAACAAUGAACUGGUUGUCUUUUAUAUUCACAAAGUACUUCCCCAGGGAGAAGUACACUUCUUCUCUAGAAGGAGGAAGUUACUGUACUCAAAGAAUUUAAGGUAUAAAAGCAAAGAAUUUCUGUGUGUUCAAAGAAACAGUAUUCAAUGACUCUCCAAUUGUUGGACACUGUAAAUUGAAGUUUCCAUAAUUAUAGU
rnacentral:lncRNA from 1 species